rnacentral:rRNA from 1 species
AGCAGCCGCGGUAAUUCCAGCUCCAAUAGCGUAUAUUAAAGUUGUUGCAGUUAAAAAGCUCGUAGUUGAAUUUCGAGAUCAAAUUGUUGGUCGUGCCUUGGUACGCACUGGCAUUAUUGGUUUCUCCCUUCUGACGAACCAUGAUGUCAUUAAUUUGGUGUCUUGGGGAAUCAGGACUGUUACUUUGAAAAAAUUAGAGUGUUUAAAGCAGGCUCACGCUUGAAUACAUUAGCAUGGAAUAAUGAAAUAGGACGUUUGAUUCUAUUUUGUUGGUUUCUAGGAUCGACGUAAUGAUUAAUAGGGAUAGUUGGGGGCAUUAGUAUUCAAUUGUCAGAGGUGAAAUUCUUGGAUUUAUUGAAGACUAACUACUGCGAAAGCAUUUGCCAAGGAUGUUUUCAUUAAUCAAGAACGAAAGUUAGGGGAUCGAAGACGAUCAGAUACCGUCGUAGUCUUAACCAUAAACUAUGCCGACUAGGAAUCGGAUGAUGUUAAUUUUUAAUGACUUAU